GACGCUGAUGAACGAAAGCGUAGGUAGCCAACAGGAUUAGAUACCCUGGUAGUCUACGCUGUAAACGAUGGUUACUAGCUGUUCGUCACGCCUUAGGCGAGAUGAGUGGUUAAGCGAAAGUGAUAAGUAACCCACCUGGGGAGUACGUUUGCAAGAAUGAAACUCAAAGGAAUUGACGGGGGCCCGCACAAGCGGUGGAGCAUGUGGUUUAAUUCGAUGAUACGCGAGGAACCUUACCAAGGCUUAAAUGCAUAUUGACGAUUCACGAAAGUGGAUUUUCUUCGGACAAUUUGCAAGGUGCUGCAUGGUUGUCGUCAGCUCGUGCCGUGAGGUGUCAGGUUAAGUCCUAUAACGAGCGCAACCCCUGUGGUUAGUUACCAGCAUGUAAUGAUGGGGACUCUAGCCAGACUGCCGGUGCAAACCGUGAGGAAGGUGGGGAUGACGUCAAAUCAUCACGGCCCUUACGCCUUGGGCUACACACGUGCUACAAUGGUAUAUACAAUGAGCAGCCAUCUGGCGACAGAGCGCUAAUCUAUAAAGUAUAUCACAGUUCGAAUCGGAGUCUGCAACUCGACUCUGUGAGGCUGGAAUCGCUAGUAAUCGCACAUCAGCCAUGGUGCGGUGAAUACGUUCCCGGGCCUUGUACACACCGCCCGU
rnacentral:rRNA from 1 species